rnacentral:rRNA from 1 species
GGAUUAGGCAUGCAAGUCGCGCGCGAAAGCCUUCGGGUGAGUAAAGCGGCGCAAGGGUGAGUAACACGUAACCAACGUACCCCUCAGACCGGGAUAACUGCUGGAAACGGUAGCUAAUACCGGAUGGUGCAUCAAGAUGGCAUCAUCUAAUAGGUAAACGGCGGCGUAAGCUGCUGCUUUGGGAGGGGGUUGCGGGCUAUUAGCUUGUUGGUGAGGUAGUGGCUCACCAAGGCUAUGAUGGUUAGCGGGUCUGAGAGGAUGAUCCGUCACACUGGGACUGAGACACUGCCCAGACUCCUACGGGAGGCUGCAGUCGAGAAUCUUCCGCAAUGGGCGAAAGCCUGACGGAGCGACACCGCGUGCAGGAUGAAGGCCCUAGGGUUGUAAACUGCUGUCACGCACUAGGAAUGUCAUGUCGUUAAUAGCGGCAUGGUUGACCAACGCGAAAGGAAGCACCGGCUAACUCCGUGCCAGCAGCCGCGGUAAGACGGAGGGUGCAAACGUUGUUCGGAAUCACUGGGCAUAAAGAGCAUGUAGGCUGUCUAGUUAGUUGGAUGUGAAAUCCCUCGGCUCAACCGGGGAACUGCAUCCAAUACUGCUAGGCUUGAGGAUGGUUGGGGUAAGCGGAACUCCUGGUGGAGCGGUGAAAUGCGUAGAUAUCAGGAGGAACACCGGUGGCGAAGGCGGCUUACUGGACCAUUACUGACGCUGAGAUGCGAAAGCUAGGGGAGCGAACGGGAUUAGAUACCCCGGUAGUCCUAGCCGUAAACGAUGGGCACUAGACAGGGGGAUUUCCUAUGGUAUCCCCUGUCGUAGCAAAUGUGUUAAGUGCCCCGCCUGGGGAGUACGCUCGCAAGGGUAAAACUCAAAGGAAUUGACGGGGGAUCACACAAGCGGUGGAGCAUGUGGUUUAAUUCGAAGCAACGCGAAGAACCUUACCUGGUCUUGACAUACACGGAUUAGCCCUAUGAAAGUAGGGUGACAGCCCUUCGGGGUCGGAACGUGAACAGGUGUUGCAUGGCUGUCGUCAGCUCGUGUCGUGAGAUGUUGGGUUAAGUCCCGUAACGAGCGAAACCCUUGUCGUUAGUUGCCAGCGGGUUAUGCCGGGGACUCUAGCGAGACUGCCGUUGUUAAAACGGAGGAAGGUGGGGACGACGUCAAGUCAUCAUGGCCCUUAUGACCAGGGCUACACACGUGCUACAAUGGUCCGUACAAAGGGUUCCGAAACCGCGAGGUCAAGGCAAUCCCAUAAAGCGGGCCCCAGUUCGGAUUGCAGGCUGCAAUUCGCCUGCAUGAAGCCGGAAUCGCUAGUAAUCGCGUAUCAGCCAUGACGCGGUGAAUAUGUUCCUGAUCCUUGUACACACCGCCCGUCAAGCCACGGGAGCGGGGAGCGCUCGAAGUCGUUUUGUCCAACCGUAAGGGGACGGCGCCGAAAGCGAGCUCCGUGACUGGGACUAAGUCGUAACAAGGUAGCCGUAGGGGAACCUGCGGCUGGAUCACCUCCUUU